UACGAAGGGGGCUAGCCUUGUUCGGAAUCACUGGGCGUAAAGCGCACGCAGGCGGAUCGUUAAGUCAGGGGUGAAAUCCCGAGGCUCAACCUCGGAACUGCCUUUGAUACUGGCGAUCUUUGAGUCCGGGAGAGGUGAGUGGAACUCCGAGUGUAGAGGUGAAAUUCGUAGAUAUUCGGAAGAACACCAGUGGCGAAGGCGGCUCACUGGCCCGGUACUGACGCUCAGGUGCGAAAGCGUGGGGAGCAAACAGG
rnacentral:rRNA from 1 species